UUGCUUUAUUUAAUAUAGUACUCAGAUUGAACACGUUUAAUUGAGAGUUUUUAAAGGUUGGCCAUCGGCGGGCGCGGGCCAGAGGACGAUCAAGGUCCUCCGGCGGUCAAUAAAGACGGGUCCGCCGAAGCAACAGUGGUUAAGUAAACAAAGGGUUUGGAGGUUGGGCCAGGAAGACCCUAACUCUUUAAUGAUCCUUCCGCAGGUUCACCUACGGAAA
rnacentral:misc_RNA from 1 species